GCUGGGCACGGUGGCUCAAGCCUGUAAUCCCAGCACUUUGGGAGGCACAGGCAGGUGGAUCACCUGAAGUCAGGAGUUUGAGACCAGCCUGGCCAACAUGGUGAAACCCCAUCUCUACUAAAAAUANNNNNNNNNNUAUUUUUAGUAGAGAUGGGGUUUCACCAUGUUGGCCAGGCUGGUCUCAAACUCCUGACUUCAGGUGAUCCACCUGCCUGUG
rfam:Chlorocebus sabaeus isolate 1994-021 chromosome 26, whole genome shotgun sequence.